rnacentral:rRNA from 1 species
GGAAAGGCCCUGCUUGCAGGGUACUCGAGUGGCGAACGGGUGAGUAACACGUGGGUGAUCUGCCCUGCACUUCGGGAUAAGCUUGGGAAACUGGGUCUAAUACCGGAUAGGAACCAUCUUUAGUGUGGUGGUCGGAAAGUUUUUUCGGUGUAGGAUGAGCUCGCGGCCUAUCAGCUUGUUGGUGGGGUAAUGGCCUACCAAGGCGGCGACGGGUAGCCGGCCUGAGAGGGUGUACGGCCACAUUGGGACUGAGAUACGGCCCAGACUCCUACGGGAGGCAGCAGUGGGGAAUAUUGCACAAUGGGCGCAAGCCUGAUGCAGCGACGCCGCGUGGGGGAUGAAGGCCUUCGGGUUGUAAACUCCUUUCGCUAGGGACGAAGCUUUUUGUGACGGUACCUAGAUAAGAAGCACCGGCUAACUACGUGCCAGCAGCCGCGGUAAUACGUAGGGUGCGAGCGUUGUCCGGAAUUACUGGGCGUAAAGGGCUCGUAGGUGGUUUGUCGCGUCGUCUGUGAAAUUCUGGGGCUUAACUCCGGGCGUGCAGGCGAUACGGGCAUAACUUGAGUGCUGUAGGGGUAACUGGAAUUCCUGGUGUAGCGGUGAAAUGCGCAGAUAUCAGGAGGAACACCGAUGGCGAAGGCAGGUUACUGGGCAGUUACUGACGC